rnacentral:lncRNA from 1 species
UCACUCAGUUGGAGUUUUUUGGGAUAAACCACAGGGGGAUUUAGGAGGAUGAAGAUGAAGCUUCCCUGGGAUUUUUGGGAUAAAGCACAGGGUGAUUUCCUUGAUUUAGGAGGAUGAAGCUGCCCUGCCCAGCCCACACCUGUCUCACACUGUGUCUCCAUUCCAUUGCAGAUUUUUGGGAUUUUUGGGGGAUUUUUUGGGAUACACCACAGCAGCGCCCUGGCUGAGCAGCGACACCUCCCCACAGAGGGCCGAGGAUGAUGAUGAUGAUGAUGAUGAUGAUGAUGACGGGGCACAGGGAGGGGACCCCGCUGGUGCUGCAGGGUCACACCCAGGCCUUGAGCUGGCGGCUGCAGCCCCUGGCCCAGCACAGAGCCCCCUC